GACGAACGCUGGCGGCGUGCUUAACACAUGCAAGUCGAACGGAAAGGCCCUGCUUUUGUGGGGUGCUCGAGUGGCGAACGGGUGAGUAACCCGUGAGUAACCUGCCCUUGACUUUGGGAUAACUUCAGGAAACUGGGGCUAACACCGGAUAGGAGCUCCUGCUGCAUGGUGGGGGUUGGAACGUUUCGGCGGUUGGGGAUGGACUCGCGGCUUAUCAGCUUGUUGGUGGGGUAGUGGCUUACCAAGGCUUUGACGGGUAGCCGGCCUGAGAGGGUGACCGGCCACAUUGGGACUGAGAUACGGCCCAGACUCCUACGGGAGGCAGCAGUGGGGAAUAUUGCACAAUGGGCGGAAGCCUGAUGCAGCAACGCCGCGUGCGGGAUGACGGCCUUCGGGUUGUAAACCGCUUUCGCCUGUGACGAAGCGUGAGUGACGGUAAUGGGUAAAGAAGCACCGGCUAACUACGUG
rnacentral:rRNA from 1 species